rnacentral:rRNA from 1 species
AUUGAACGCUGGCGGCAUGCCUUACACAUGCAAGUCGAACGGUAACAGGGAGCUUGCUCCGCUGACGAGUGGCGAACGGGUGAGUAAUAUAUCGGAACGUGCCCUAGAGUGGGGGAUAACUAGUCGAAAGAUUAGCUAAUACCGCAUACGAUCUAAGGAUGAAAGUGGGGGAUCGCAAGACCUCAUGCUCGUGGAGCGGCCGAUAUCUGAUUAGCUAGUUGGUAGGGUAAAAGCCUACCAAGGCAUCGAUCAGUAGCUGGUCUGAGAGGACGACCAGCCACACUGGGACUGAGACACGGCCCAGACUCCUACGGGAGGCAGCAGUGGGGAAUUUUGGACAAUGGGCGCAAGCCUGAUCCAGCAAUGCCGCGUGAGUGAAGAAGGCCUCGG